AUGACGAAGACGAUGCCGCGUGAUUCUUCAGCGAGUGGAGCGUUGGUGCCGAGCGACUCGUCAGCGACGGCGGCUGCGGCGGCGACGGCGGCGGCAAGGAAGCUCCCGUUCCCGCUGCUCACGAGGACGAACUACGCGGCGUGGGCGAUGAGGAUGAAGUACCUCUUGCGCGCCAAUGGCGCGUGGGGGGCCGUUGAUCGCGAGGCGUCGGCCUCGGAGGUCGACAAGGGCAAGGAGGAGAUGGCCAUGAUGAUCAUCUCCCAGUCGAUCGACGACACGACGCUGCUGCGCGUUGCUGAGAAGGAGACCGCCGCCGAUGUGUGGGUGGCGCUACGCUCCAUGCACGUUGGCGUCGAGCGCGUCCGAGAGGCGAGGAUUCAGUCCUUGCGCUCGGAGUUUGAUGGCCUCAAGAUGGGCGAUGCGGAGUCCGUGGAUGAUUUCGCGGCGAGGUUCACGACGCUCGUGGGGUGCAUCCGUGAGCUUGGUGAUGCGAUGGAGGAGAAGUACGUCGUGAAGAAGCUGCUCCGAGCCGUCUCCAACAAGUUCAUCCACGUUGCGUCAUCGAUUGCAUUGUUCGGCGACACCAACAAGAUGGCCAUGGAGGAGGCCAUUGGUUCACUCAAGGCACACGAGGAACUCGUCAAGGAGCGGGAGACAGGACGUGAAGAAGAGCAGCUCCUCAUGGCGAGAGGGCAAGACUCGUCGCGAGGAUGGGGUCGUGGCCGUGGACGCGGUGGAGGACGCAAAGACAAAAGUGAGGUACAGUGUUACAAUUCUCGUCAACUUGGUCACUUUACUUGGGAGUGUCCGGAGAAGAAGAAGGAGAAUGAGGAGAAGGCGCUGCUGGCCAGCUACGGCAGCGACGGACCGGCUCUCCUUUGA
rnacentral:rRNA from 1 species